CUUGGGGGGCUUUAGUUACAAAAGGUUGAGAACCUCUGCUUUAUCACAUUAAAAAUGGAAAUGACUUCCUGUUUCACAGGGGUAUAAAUAUGAGGUAAGGUGUAUUAAUAGCAUAUGUAAGCUGACAGUAAAACUAAACUCCACAGUUUUUUGCUUGCAUAAAAGGGUUCUGUAAAGUCUCCCAACACUUGUCUGUCAUGAUUCCCCCUUGAAGCAGCGUGCUCUAAGCACGAAUGCGUGAGCACCUGCUUUUCCGUUGUUGACCGUAAUGACAUCUGGACACGUGUGUUUUGUUUAUGUUUCUGUCAUGUCUCCUCCCUGUUCUGUCAUUGGCUGGGAUUUCACGUGGGUCUGUAUUGCUCUCAGCUGCUAGCAGUUUAGACGCUGAUCAUGUCCGCAUAUAUACCGCGCGCCUCCCAGCACACAACGCGGAAGAUUAAUGUCAUAGAGUUAGUUUAGUUCGUACCGUAGUCUCGUUCCAUGUCAUAGAAUUAGUUUAGUCCGUAUCAUAGUCAUAGUCACAGUCACAGUCACGUUCCAUGUUUAAAGUUAGUUAGUGCUGGAUUAUCCGCUUCCAGUUCCUCGUCAUAGUUUGUUUCUCGUUUUGUUUAUCGACCCUGUUUUCCGUGACCACUACCUAGAUUCCUGCCUUGCCCCGUGUAUGCCUGUUUGCCAAUCGCCUGACCUCUUGCAUGUUUAUGGAUUACGUUUUGGAUCACGUUUUGGAUUUGUCUGCCUGUCUCUCUUUCAAAUAAACAACUGUUCAUCCUGCACUUGCAUCCGUCCUAUCUCUGCUCCGUCACGAUUCGUGACAGAAUCUUCCGCCGAAACAUGGAUGCAGCAGGAGAACGGAGGAGACGCAGAACCCAGAAGUCGACGCCAACCGUCCCGGCUAUGGACUCAGUCCACUUCCCACAAUGGACAUUUAUGGAGCUUCCUGAUCCAUUUGACGGAUUUUUCGGUGCCCCUGAAUAUUUUCUGGUAGACUGUCAAUUCUAUUUCGCCAGCCUGUUAGACCCUAAGCCAAAGGAGAAGCAAUGGCUCCAAUUCAUGUGGUCCCGGUUCUUUGGACCGGCCCGUGGGUGCAGCUCAGACUGGAUAAGCACUGUAGGAACCUGGACAGUGUAGAACAGUUUGUGGGGGAAUUCAUGAUGCGAUUCAGGAGUCCGGAGGCGAAGAAUGAGCUAGAACAACUUCUCAGGGGGGUAAGUCUGGCAGGCGAACCUGCCCUGCCGUUUACCCACUACUACAGGCAAAUUCAUGCAGAGCUCAACUCUGAAAUCCAAGUCAAGCCUCCAGUCCCCGAAAUCCCAGUCAAGCCUCCAGUCCCUGAAAUCCAAGUCAAGUCUCAAGUCCCUAAGGUCCAAGUCCCAGUCAAGUCUCCAGUCCCUAAGGUCCAAGUCCAAGUCAAGUCUCAAGUCCCUGAGGUCCAAGUCAAGUCUCCAGUCCCUGAAAUCCAAGUCAAGUCUCAAGUCCCUAAGGUCCAAGUCAAGCCUCCAGUCAGUGAGGUCCAAGUCAAGCCUCCAGGCUCUGAAGUCCAAGUCAAGCCUCCAGUCUCUGAAGUCCAAGUCAAGUCUCAAGUCCCUGAAAUCCAAGUCCAAGUCAAGCCUCCAGGCUCUGAAGUCCAAGUCAAGCCUCCAGGCUCUGAAGUCCAAGCCAAGCCUCCAGGCUCUGACGUCCAGGCCAAGUCUCACGUCCCUGAGGUCCAAGUCAAGUCUCACGUCCCUGAGCUCAGGUUCAAGCCUGCUGAUCCAGUUGACCAAGCUCUGCUAAUAUCUAAGCCUAAUGACCAAGUUCUGCUCACCCCCCAGUCUGCUGACACGCCCAGCCAAGUUCUGCUCAUGCCCCAGUCUGCUGACACGCCCAGCCAAGUUCUGCUCAUGCCACGGUCUGCUGACACCCCCAGCCAAGUUCUGCUCAUGCCACGGUCUGCUGACACGCACAGCCAAGUUCUGCUCACGCCACGGUCUGCUGACACACACAGCCAAGUUCUACUCACGCCACAAUCUGCUGACACGCACAGCCAAGUUCUGCUCACGCCCGAGUCUACUGACAUGGCCACCCAAGCUCCGCCCAUGCCCAAGGUUCACCUGGUGACCUCAGAGCCUCAGCCCCCCUGGUCAACUGUGGACGUCGCUCAGCCUCCCUGUUCAGCUGAGGUCGUCGCUCAGCCUCCCUGUUCAGCUGAGGUCGUCGCUCAGCCUCCCUGUUCAGCUGAGGUCGUCGCUCAGCCUUCCUGCUCCAUGGCAAACAUCAUUCCCCCCUUCUGCUUUGAGGAGACCCACGCUCCUCUCCCUGGCCGCACGGAGACCCACGCUCCUCUCCCUGGCCGCACGGAGACCCACGCUCCUCUCCCUGGCCACACGGAGACCCACACUCCUCUCCCUGGCCUUACAGGGGUCGUCGAGUACAGUGCUCUGUUUCCCUGCUCCUCCGAGGACGUCGCUCUGCCUUCAUGCUCUGCCGAGGACGUCGCUCUGCCUUCAUGCUCCGCCGAGGAUGUCUCUCUGCCUUCAUGCUCUGCCGAGGUCGUCGCUCAGCCUGCCUGCCCGGCUGCGGACGUCGCUCCGCUUUCAUGCUCCGAUGAGAAUGUUGCCCUGCUUCCCUGCUCUGCUGAGUACAGUGCUCUGUUUCCCUGCUCCGCCGAGGACGUCGCUCUGCCUUCAUGCUCUGCAGAGGUCGUCGCUCAGCCUGCCUGCCCAGCUGAGGACAUCGCUCAGCCUCCCUGUUCAACUGAGGACGUCGCUCAGCCUCCCUGUUCAGCCAGGGUCGUCGCUCCACUUCCCUACCCCGCCAAGAACACCGUGCAGUUUCCUGGCUCUGCUUGGGAUAUUCAGUCCAGGGGGCCGGGGCCGCCAAUGAAAUGGGAUGACUCAUGGCACUCCGGGAGGAGUGCCUUUGGGGGGGGGGGGUUCUGUCAUGAUUCCCCCUUGAAGCAGCGUGCUCUAAGUGCGAAUGCGUGAGCACCUGCUUUUCCGUUGUUGACCGUAAUGACAUCUGGACACAUGUAUUUUGUUUAUGUUUCUGUCAUGUCUCCUCCCUGUUCUGUCAUUGGCUGGGAUUUCACGUGGGUCUGUAUUGCUCUCAGCUGCUAGCGGUUUAGACGCUGAUCAUGUCCGCAUAUAUACCGCGCGCCUCCCAGCACACAACGCGGAAGAUUAAUGUCAUAGAGUUAGUUUAGUUCGUACUGUAGUCUCGUUCCAUAUCAUAGAAUUAGUUUAGUCCGUAUCAUAGUCAUAGUCACAGUCACAGUCACGUUCCAUGUUUAAAGUUAGUUCGCGCUGGAUUAUCCGCUUCCAGUUCCUCGUCAUAGUUCGUUUCUCGUUUUGUUUAUCACUGACCCUGUUUUCCGUGACCACGACCUAGAUUCCUGCCUUGCCCCGUGUAUGCCUGUUUGCCAAUCGCCUGACCUCUUGCAUGUUUAUGGAUUACGUUUGGAUCACGUUUUGGAUUUGUCUGCCUGUCCCUCUUUCAAAUAAACAACUGUUCAUCCUGCACUUGCAUCUGUCCUAUCUCUGCUCCAUCACGAUUCGUGACAUUGUCAAAAAAAAAAAAAGAAUAAAAUGGAAAUCUUUUUUUAUUUUUUUAUUUGACUUAUGAUACUCUUGCAGGAAUGACCCCAUAGGUUGAACAACACAAACAAAUAAGGCGAACACUUGACAUGAGGAGGCAUAAUAUUCAUUUGAUAUUUGCAUGUCAUUAUGGCAUUCCAUAUAGUGCACCUGUUAAGAUAUGAUUGUAAUUAAUAAUUUGACCUCGAAUUUAUUGAUACCUCAGUGGCGAUUCACUCAUUUUAUACUAAAAAAUAAGGAUAUAUAAAUAUAAUAAAAUAAUUUCAAUUGCAAUUUUAAAUUAAAUGUUCCAGUUGAUAUUCUCAAUCUUUUUUCCACUUGCAGGGCCACCACAUAGUCUCACUUGCUGCCUCUGAAUCUAUGGACAUCCUGUGACACUCUGGCAAGUGCCCCCAGGCAAGGGCAAGAGGGAAGGAACGAGCAGUGAAACAACCAUGUCUGAAGGCAUGUAUGAGGGGGGCAGCCAGCACUGUAGGGAGAGCUCUCCCCAAACUUUGUAGCCUGGGCCGUUUGGAUGAUGAGGAGGAGGAGUACGAUAAAGGUUAUGAGGAAUUUGAGCAGAUGCUGGAACAGCUCUGUUACGCAGUUUGUUGCCUCUCUCCUGAAGACGAACCUUGAGGUGUUGGAGCAACACCGGCAGAUGAAAACUCGCUCUCCUGGGUGUUUCAGAAGGUGGUGACCAUCUUGUGUGUGUGUGUGUGAGUGUGAAUGAGUGGCAGAGAAAUAUUCAGGGGGUAAAAUUAAAAACUUUGUGUGGGUGUAGUUGUGUGUCAAAAGAGUGAGAAUGAAAUUUUCACCAGGUUGUUUCACUCACAUACUACCUGAGCCUGUCUGUAUUUCUCAAAUUAAAAAAAAAAAGAAGAAGAAGAAUUUUUGAGUCUCUUUGUUCUCCUUUGUACCUGUGAAAAGUAAUUGGCUUCUUACAGAGUUUAAUAUAGUAAAUGGGGCUGGAGAGAUGUAAGGUUGCAGCAUUGUGUUUUGGCAGAACAGCUUUAUUUAAAAGUGCAGGAACUUAUUGACCAUUGAGGCCUUCAGAUUAUGACAUCUAGAUAUAUUUUAUUCUCAAUAAAUCAUACAUAUAUCUCAAUAAAUAAGUCAUCAUUUACAUUUGGGUUAUGAAAUAGUGUUGGUGCUAAACACUGAAACUGUAAUAAAUAUCAGUGAAUCAUACUGUAGUUUCCAGUAGUUACUGUUUAAUUUCCAUAGACUGAGAAACAACUUGUUAGUCAGACCAGGGCUUCACAAUCCUGGUAAUAUGUGCAAUCAUAUGAACAUGAAUUUUUCAGAGAUUGUGGAUGAGUGGAUGGAGGUUCACUAUUCUUGAGCAGUUCACCUUUUUGUGUAUGUUUUAUCUGACUGAGAUCACAACUGUGCUUAUAUUGACAGCAGAAUACUGACUGUUGUUGGGCUGUCACUGUUUAUAUUAAUGAGACUGGCUGAUAGUAUGUCUGACAUUGUGACUACUGUUUUGUGAUAUUGAGGGUUUCAAAUUUAGGUGUAUGUUGUAUAUCUUAUAGAGAUCUUCUCUAAAAUACUCCCUGAUCAGAACCGUGCUUAUAUUGGAAGCAGAAUACUGAUUAUUGAUGGGCUCUCACUGCUUAUGUUAAUGAGACUGGCUAAUAAUAUGUCUGAUAUUGUGACUACUUUUUUUAUGUUUUUCUUUAGGUAAUGCAAUUCAUUCAGAAGUUUCUAAACAAUGUUAAAGAUUUUUGUGUUCUUUUAUGCCUGGUCUUGGCACUCAUAAUAAGGUAUAAUGGGUGCCAAGACCCAAUAUUAAUUAAUGCAAUAUGAUGUAAUUUAUUUUUUGUUCCUUGAUUAUACAAAAGCUUCUUUGCCUCUUUUUUCAUUUUGUAAUUUUUUUUUAGAACUGCUUGUGAAAUGUUUUCUCCCUCAUCUGUGCUUUUUUGUAACACUGCCCUGGUAUGCUAGCCUGGAAGCUUCAGGCAUAUAAAAAAAAAUGGAACAGUGUGGGGUUUCUUUGCUGUUACCUUAGCUGAACCCUGGGCUGAACUCAAUGCACUGUACUGCUGGCAGGAAGGAUAUGAAGAAGAGAGAGAAAGGGGGAUACAAGCAAGAGGCUAAGCAUGUUCAGCUAGCGGACAUGCUCGUCAGUGAAUGGGAAGCACAUUUUGAACCGCUAUAACAGGACAUAUUUGGUUACAAAAUAACAGAAUAUGGCCUCCAACAACCACCUCCUACCAUUCCUCUUUGUCUAUGGUAAGUGUUCUUUUCUUUCCUUUCCAUUUUAUUCUUCAUGUGUGGAUCAGGCAUUUCCAUCCAUCUCUCCCAGUGUGUCAGAUAGCUUAUCAGACUGGUG
ensembl:lncRNA